UCCUCUUUCCUGAUGAUACCACAAAUUUCAAAGCAUAGUUCAUCUUAGUCUUCGGACAGUGAGGAACGAAUUCAGCAAUGUCUUUCGCUCCUAUCUGACAUCAAAU
rnacentral:snoRNA from 1 species